CAUGCAGUCGAACGAUGAAGCCCUUCGGGGUGGAUUAGUGGCGAACGGGUGAGUAACACGUGGGCAAUCUGCCCUUCACUCUGGGACAAGCCCUGGAAACGGGGUCUAAUACCGGAUAACACCGGCUUCCGCAUGGAAGCUGGUUGAAAGCUCCGGCGGUGAAGGAUGAGCCCGCGGCCUAUCAGCUUGUUGGUGGGGUAAUGGCCCACCAAGGCGACGACGGGUAGCCGGCCUGAGAGGGCGACCGGCCACACUGGGACUGAGACACGGCCCAGACUCCUACGGGAGGCAGCAGUGGGGAAUAUUGCACAAUGGGCGAAAGCCUGAUGCAGCGACGCCGCGUGAGGGAUGACGGCCUUCGGGUUGUAAACCUCUUUCAGCAGGGAAGAAGCGAAAGUGACGGUACCUGCAGAAGAAGCGCCGGCUAACUACGUGCCAGCAGCCGCGGUAAUACGUAGGGCGCAAGCGUUGUCCGGAAUUAUUGGGCGUAAAGAGCUCGUAGGCGGCUUGUCACGUCGGGUGUGAAAGCCCGGGGCUUAACCCCGGGUCUGCAUCCGAUACGGGCAGGCUAGAGUGUGGUAGGGGAGAUCGGAAUUCCUGGUGUAGCGGUGAAAUGCGCAGAUAUCAGGAGGAACACCGGUGGCGAAGGCGGAUCUCUGGGCCAUUACUGACGCUGAGGAGCGAAAGCGUGGGGAGCGAACAGGAUUAGAUACCCUGGUAGUCCACGCCGUAAACGUUGGGAACUAGGUGUUGGCGACA
rnacentral:rRNA from 1 species